rnacentral:rRNA from 1 species
UGGGGAAUAUUGGACAAUGGGGGCAACCCUGAUCCAGCCAUGCCGCGUGUGUGAAGAAGGCCUUUUGGUUGUAAAGCACUUUAAGCAGUGAAGAAGACUCCAUGGUUAAUACCCAUGGACGAAGACAUUAGCUGCAGAAUAAGCACCGGCUAACUCUGUGCCAGCAGCCGCGGUAAUACAGAGGGUGCAAGCGUUAAUCGGAAUUACUGGGCGUAAAGCGAGCGUAGGUGGCUUGAUAAGUCAGAUGUGAAAGCCCCGGGCUUAACCUGGGAACGGCAUCUGAUACUGUUAGGCUAGAGUAGGUGAGAGGAAGGUAGAAUUCCAGGUGUAGCGGUGAAAUGCGUAGAGAUCUGGAGGAAUACCGAUGGCGAAGGCAGCCUUCUGGCAUCAUACUGACACUGAGGUUCGAAAGCGUGGGUAGCAAACA